rnacentral:rRNA from 1 species
GAUGAACGCUGGCGGCGUGCCUAAUACAUGCAAGUCGAGCGAACAGAUGAGGAGCUUGCUCCUCUGACGUUAGCGGCGGACGGGUGAGUAACACGUGGAUAACCUACCUAUAAGACUGGGAUAACUUCGGGAAACCGGAGCUAAUACCGGAUAAUAUAUUGAACCGCAUGGUUCAAUAGUGAAAGACGGUUUUGCUGUCACUUAUAGAUGGAUCCGCGCCGCAUUAGCUAGUUGGUAAGGUAACGGCUUACCAAGGCAACGAUGCGUAGCCGACCUGAGAGGGUGAUCGGCCACACUGGAACUGAGGCACGGUCCAGACUCCUACGGAAGGCAGCAGUAGGGAAUCUUCCGCAAUGGGCGAAAGCCUGACGGAGCAACGCCGCGUGAGUGAUGAAGGUCUUCGGAUCGUAAAACUCUGUUAUUAGGGAAGAACAAAUGUGUAAGUAACUAUGCACGUCUUGACGGUACCUAAUCAGAAAGCCACGGCUAACUACGUG